UACGGGGGGUGCGAGCGUUGUCCGGAAUCACUGGGCGUAAAGGGCGCGUAGGUGGUCUUGUAAGUCUGUGGUGAAAGCCCGGGGCUCAACCCCGGGUCUGCCAUGGAUACUGUGAGACUAGAGUGCUGUAGAGGCAGGUAGAAUAUCGGGUGUAGCGGUGGAAUGCGUAGAGAUCCGAUAGAAGACCGGUGGCGAAGGCGGCCUGCUGGGCAGUAACUGACACUGAGGCGCGACAGCGUGGGGAGCAAACAGG
rnacentral:rRNA from 1 species